GUCGAUCACCGAUCGAGCGAUUCUGAACGACGUCCCUGCCGCUGCGAGCCGUCUCGACCUGGCUGGCAGGUAACGGUGAUCUCAGUGAACUUGUGCGGCAUGGUCUUCAUGUUCUUAAAGAAACACUACCUACAGAGCAAGAUCUAAUCACAAAGGUCUUUGUGGUCUGGGAUAGAUCUGUCUAUCAGGAGUAUUAAGCUGAUGAGGAUAAUACCACUCCUCCAUCAAAGCUUUCCACAUCCUGUACCACUUUUUCUACAGGUUUUGUUUUCUUUUGUUUGUCUUUUCUCCUUACAGGAUAUUCAGGGACAUCUGGCUCCAGAGAUAAGUCAUUCCCUCAUCUUCCAGGCUUGUUAGCUGGUCACUUUUCAUGUAGUGGACAACGUAUUCUAACAGUCCAGGUUUGUUGCUGCCUGUGACUGCUGGAAUGUCCAUAUCUCUUCCAUCUUCCAGUGACGAUCCAAGCUUGAAGAGCUGCUGUCCACUGAGGAGGUGCAGUUGCUUCUGGAUGUCCCACAGCAACACACGACAAGGAUUUGAAGAUGUCGUCUCCAAUGGAUAUCCGAAGCCUCUCAAGUCACAGGAUGGCUAACUCUCGCAGCCGCCCUGGUCACUCUCGCCUCAGGUCCACUUGGUUUAGGGAUCAGCAACCAUCCAGAAGAUGGUGCUGGAUCCCGGACGAGCCCCCAAAAUGUAACCGGUGGGAAAAGGAAAGUGGGACCUGAGCAAACAAAUAGAAGUCCGACACAUGCAGAUGUGUAGAAUGUUCUGGCGAUUUCUCACAUUUCCUGCCUACUUAAUCAGAACCACAGACCUACCAUUUGUGGGCAUAGUCCGCCAUCUACAUGACUAAUUGUGUAAUAGUACCUAAACUUGAUUCUAAAUGUGCAGCUCUAAUCAGUGAAUAGUGAAAAUGAAUCUGGUCAGUAAGUAAACAUAAAUUAAGAAAGGAAAAUAAAAAAAUGAAAUAGAGGGGUGUCUGUUUUUAUAACCCAAUAGUUUCCAGUCCUCUACACUCGCAAUCUGGCAUUUGUGAAAUGCACUGCCACUCAAAAAAAAUCUUAUCAUCAUCAUAUGGUAAAGAAGCAAGCAACAACAAUUGUUUUAUUGGUCGCGUAGUCAGAUAAUUGAAACAGUAUUCAUUGACUGCUAUUCCCUGGAUGAUCCAGCAAAAAAUUAAGCCUUCUGAUUGGGUGGGCCUGAGUGCCAAGUGGGUGGGCCACCCACAGCUACACGGGUCAGUUGUCCUGGUCAAGGGAGGGUCCAACUCCGACGGCAGCCGCCGCUCAGUCAACCCUCGGAGCGCACGACGACCGAUGCCAUAUAGCACUGCCGGAGCAAGGGGAACCGCGUGAGCCUGGACCGUUUACAUGCACACCGCCUAUGUUUGGGCUGUUUAAUGUCUCAGUAUAUAUAUUUUUAUUUUUUUUCCAUGUAAAUCUGAUGUAUAGUAUGUUCAGAUCAUUAAAUAAGUUUUAUCAAUUUUCCAUGGACAACUUCAAGCCAUUAAAGUUGGGUUUUGGGAACGAUAGUAUGUCUCUAAUAUGAUUGAAUUUUGGUGGUGGGGCUACCCUCUAUUUGGAUUGACUAAUAUGUGGGAGAGGAUACCUCUUGUACCGUGCGCAAAUAGAGCGAGCGUGUGUGCAAUAUGGCCAGUCAGCGACCUGUUUGCAGUCAGGACCUGAGGGUGGCUUUGGGGUCAUCUUGUCCUGGGCACGAUUAAGGAACGCUUG